UACGUAGGGGGCUAGCGUUGUCCGGAAUUAUUGGGCGUAAAGGGCGCGUAGGCGGCUUUGCAAGUGGCGGGUGAAAUCCCUCGGCUUAACCGAGGAACUGCCUGUCAAACUGCAUGGCUUGAGACCAGGAGAGGUGAGUGGAAUUCCCAGUGUAGCGGUGAAAUGCGUAGAUAUUGGGAGGAACACCAGUGGCGAAGGCGGCUCACUGGACUGGUACUGACGCUGAGGCGCGAAAGCGUGGGGAGCAAACAGG
rnacentral:rRNA from 1 species